AGUGUUGUCCCCAGCCUCAAGCCUCUCUGCACCGUAAUUGUGCUUCUUUUCCUCAGAUACCUGCCUUGCAUUGGCCCUGGGUAAAUGUUUCCCUUGGCUGUGAAUAGGCAAUUAAAAUUCUGAACCUUUUAUGGCUCUGGAAGCUUAUCCGAUGAAACAAUACUCAUCCAGGCGGAUGGCCCACCAGCGCAAAGGGCUGAAAAGUUCCAUGGCAGCCUCAUAACUGGAGGGUGUGUCCAUGAGGAGGGUUUCGAUGACACGCUGAAAGCUCGGGCAGAUCUCUGCAGAAGCUGCAACACAGAGGAGAGAAGGCACAUGUCUCCAGGCCCCUUUCCAAGCUGGCUAGCCCUCUGGCUGGGUCUGCCCAGAUGCAAACAGCCAGGCCCAUCAGCGAGAGAUAGCAGCCUUUUCAUCGAUGGACUAGAGUGUAAGAUUUGUGGAUUGCCCGAGUCUUCCUUAGACUUCUUGGGUUGAGGUGAGCAAGGUGCCGUUUUUCUUUCUGUUGGAGAUCAAGGCAGAGUAUUGAUCAUAGAAGCUGCUGGCCUGAUUUUUUAAUGCAGUGUGGAGGCUGGGAAGAGGCCACUGAGGGUUUUAUUUCCCACCAGAAACUUGCCUCUCAUCAGUGGUUAGAGAUGCCCUGAGCCAUGCUUCACUGGGGGCAUGUGA
rnacentral:lncRNA from 1 species